rnacentral:rRNA from 1 species
UACGUAGGGUGCAAGCGUUAUCCGGAAUUACUGGGCGUAAAGGGUGAGUAGGCGGCAACAUAAGUCACAUGUGAAAAUUAAGGGCUCAACCCAUAACUUGCAUGAGAAACUGUGUAGCUUAGAGUGCAGGAGAGGUAAGCGGAAUUCCUAGUGUAGCGGUGAAAUGCGUAGAUAUUAGGAAGAACACCAGUGGCGAAGGCGGCUUACUGGACUGUAACUGACGCUGAGUCACGAAAGCGUGGGGAGCGAACGAGGA